rnacentral:rRNA from 1 species
CGCAUCUGUGCAUGCAGCAUAUCAAUAAGCGGAGGAAAAGAAACUAACAAGGAUUCCCCUAGUAACGGCGAGUGAAGCGGGAAGAGCUCAAAUUUGAAAUCUUAAAGGGUUUCCCUUUACGAAUUGUAGUUUAAAGAAGUGUUUUCUGUUGAGGUUUUGGUAAAAGUUCUUUGGAAUAGGACAUCAUAGAGGGUGAGAAUCCCGUAUUUGACCUUUACUUUCAACUUUGUGAUACACUUUCAAAGAGUCGGAUUGUUUGGGAAUGCAGUCCAAAAUGGGUGGUAAAUUUCAUCUAAAGCUAAAUAUUGGCGAGAGACCGAUAGCGAACAAGUACCGUGAGGGAAAGAUGAAAAGAACUUUGAAAAGAGAGUUAAACAGUACGUGAAAUUGUCAAAAGGGAAGCGUUUGACACCAGUGUUGUUUUUCUGAAAAUCAAUUAAAGAACUGUUUAUGCUAAGCUGUUUAGACUUUAUCAGCUAAUCUGUUUAGUUUUGAGCUUUUCUUUAAUGCACUUUUCAGUUAACAAGUCAACAUCAAUUUCUUUUGCUGUAAAAAAGCUUGAGGAAGGUGGCUUGAGAUUCGUCUUAAGUGUUUAUAGCCUCUUGCCUAUGCAGUCGGAGAGAUUGAGGUCUGCAGCGUAGAUCCUUCGGGGUUAAAUAGCAUUUGUGCUAAGUUAUAGCGUUUUAUAGACAACUUGUUGACUAUGAUUAGUCUUGUAGCUUACUCGCUUAUGUUAUUUUACCUACGCUUAGGAUGUUGAUAGUCACAGCGUGUAC